rnacentral:rRNA from 1 species
GACGAACGCUGGCGGCGUGCUUAACACAUGCAAGUCGAACGGAAAGGCCCUGCUUGCAGGGUACUCGAGUGGCGAACGGGUGAGUAACACGUGGGUGAUCUGCCCUGCACUUCGGGAUAAGCCUGGGAAACUGGGUCUAAUACCGGAUAGGAGCCAUUUUUAGUGUGAUGGUUGGAAAGUUUUUUUCGGUGUAGGAUGAGCUCGCGGCCUAUCAGCUUGUUGGUGGGGUAAUGGCCUACCAAGGCGGCGACGGGUAGCCGGCCUGAGAGGGUGGACGGCCACAUUGGGGCUGAGAUACGGCCCAGACUACUACGGGAGGCAGCAGUGGGGAAUAUUGCACAAUGGGCGCAAGCAUGAUGCAGCGACGCCGCGUGGGGGAUGACGGCCUUCGGGUUGUAAACUCCUUUCGCUAGGGACGAAGCUUUUUGUGACGGUACCUAGAUAAGAAGCACCGGCUAACUACGUG